UCCCUGGUGGUCCAGUGGUUGGGACUCUCACUUCAACUGCAGAGGGCUUGGGUUUGAUCCCUGGUUAGGGAA
rnacentral:tRNA from 1 species